AUAGGGACAAAACGUUGCAACGAUUUGAGCGACGUCCGAAGCGAUGAAUGGAUCUCAAAUUUGAGCAUAUCGAGAGACGCCACGAAGAAAUUGUAGAUCAUCUUAGUGCUUUGCGAACUCAAACAAAUAAAAAUUGGGUCGACAAAAGAAGAUCAAGAGAUGGUACAGCUCGUGAUGUCCCUAUUUAUUGACCAAUUUCUGCAUGUAGGCAAU
rnacentral:misc_RNA from 1 species